rnacentral:ncRNA from 1 species
GCCGGUCCUCGGUCGUGGCCGCCGGGACGAGCGCCGUCGGUGCCGCCCGGAGACUUCGACUGAGCACCGGC